AUGGGACUCAGGCUCCUCUGUGGCGUGGCCUUUUGUUUCCUGGGAGUAGGUCUCAUGAAUGCAGAAGUAACACAAGUCCCAAGAUAUCUGAUCAAAAGAAAGGGAGAGAAAGUGUUUAUGGAAUGUUUACAGGAUAUGGACCAUGAAAGAAUGUUCUGGUAUCGACAAGACCCAGUUCUGGGGCUGCAGCUGCUCCACUUCUCAUAUGGGGUUGACAUUUAUGAGAAAGGAGAUUUCCCCUAUGGGUACAGUGUCUCCAGGAAGAAGAAGGAGGGCUUCUCCCUUAUCCUGGUGUCUGCCAGCACCAACCAGACAUCUGUGUACCUCUGUGCCAGCAAUAGCCCAGAAUUUUUCUUUGGAGAAGGCAGCAGGCUCACGGUUGUAGAGGACCUGAACAAGGUGAAACCUCCCACAGUCACUGUGUUUGAACCAUCCGAAGCAGAGAUCGCCCGGACACAGAAGGCCACGCUUGUGUGCCUGGCCACAGGCUUCUACCCCGACCACGUGGAGCUGAGCUGGUGGGUGAAUGGGAAGCAGAUCCGGAGUGGGGUCAGCACAGACCCUCAGCCCUACAAGGAGCAGAGCAACCUCAGUGACUCCACCUACUGUCUGAGCAGCCGGCUGAGGGUCUCUGCCACCUUCUGGCACAAUCCUCGCAACCACUUCCGCUGCCAAGUCCAGUUCUUUGGGCUAGAGGAAGAAGACAGGAAGAAUUGGGAGGACCCCCGCCCCCUACCCAUCACCCAGAAUGUCAGCGCUGAGGUCUGGGGCAGAGCAGAUUGUGGCUUCACCUCAGUGUCCUACCAGCAAGGGGUCCUGUCUGCCACCAUCCUCUAUGAGAUACUGCUGGGGAAGGCCACUGUGUAUGCGGUGCUGGUCAGCACCUUGGUGCUGAUGGCCAUGGUCAAGAGAAAGAAUUCCUGACACCAGCUCAGAGGUGCAGCCAGGAACUUCCAGCCUGUUAUCUCCCCACUAUGGAUUCCCCUUUUUCCAUUCCUAGCCAGUGCUUCUGAAGAGCUGUCUCAAUCUCUCAAUUCAUCCUGAUAUCCACCCGCUAUAUACUGCACAGCUGAACACUCAUGACUAAAAUCUCCCUAACCCCAGGGGACCCUGGUGUGCCUACAUUGA